ACGCUGGCGGCAGGCUUAACACAUGCAAGUCGAACGGUAACAGGAAUUAGCUUGCUAAUUUGCUGACGAGUGGCGGACGGGUGAGUAAUGCUUGGGAAUCUGGCUUAUGGAGGGGGAUAACUACGGGAAACUGUAGCUAAUACCGCGUAAAAUCUUCGGAUUAAAGGGUGGGACUUUCGAGCCACCUGCCAUAAGAUGAGCCCAAGUGGGAUUAGGUAGUUGGUUAGGUAAAGGCUGACCAAGCCGACGAUCUCUAGCUGGUCUGAGAGGAUGACCAGCCACACUGGAACUGAGACACGGUCCAGACUCCUACGGGAGGCAGCAGUGGGGAAUAUUGCACAAUGGGGGGAACCCUGAUGCAGCCAUGCCGCGUGAAUGAAGAAGGCCUUCGGGUUGUAAAGUUCUUUCGGUGACGAGGAAGGUUGAUAGGUUAAUAGCCUAUCAAAUUGACGUUAAUCACAGAAGAAGCACCGGCUAACUCCGUGCCAGCAGCCGCGGUAAUACGGGGGGUGCGAGCGUUAAUCGGAAUAACUGGGCGUAAAGGGCACGCAGGCGGUGACUUAAGUGAGAUGUGAAAGCCCGAGCUUAACUUGGGAAUUGCAUUUCAUACUGGGUCGCUAGAGUACUUUAGGGAGGGGUAGAAUUCCACGUGUAGCGGUGAAAUGCGUAGAGAUGUGGAGGAAUACCGAAGGCGAAGGCAGCCCCUUGGGAAUGUACUGACGCUCAUGUGCGAAAGCGUGGGGAGCAAACAGGAUUAGAUACCCUGGUAGUCCACGCUGUAAACGAUGUCGAUUUGGGGAUUGGGCUUUGAGCUUGGUGCCCGUAGCUAACGUGAUAAAUCGACCGCCUGGGGAGUACGGCCGCAAGGUUAAAACUCAAAUGAAUUGACGGGGGCCCGCACAAGCGGUGGAGCAUGU
rnacentral:rRNA from 1 species